GCCGGGCACAGUGGCGUAUGCCUGUAAUCCCAGCUACUUGGGAGGCUGAGGUAGGAGAAUUGCUUGAACUUAGGAGGUGGAGGCUGCAGUGAGCCGAGAUAGUGCCAUUGCACUCCAGCCUGGGUGACAGAGUGAGACUCUGUCUCAA
rnacentral:sRNA from 13 species